UUCCGGUUGAUCCUGCCGGAGGUUACUGCUUUCGGUGUUCGACUAAGCCAUGCAAGUCAUAUGUUCCUCGUGAACAUGGCAUACUGCUCAGUAACACGUGGAUAACCUGCCCUUGGGUCUGGGAUAACCCCGGGAAACUGGGGAUAAUAUCGGAUAACGCAUAUGUGCUGGAAUGCUUUAUGCGUAAAACGGAUUCGUCCGCCCAAGGAUGGGUCUGCGGCCUAUCAGGUAGUAGUGGGUGUAAUGUACCUACUAGCCAACAACGGGUACGGGUUGUGAGAGCAAGAGCCCGGAGAUGGAUUCUGAGACAUGAAUCCAGGCCCUACGGGGCGCAGCAGGCGCGAAAACUUUACAAUGCGGGAAACCGUGAUAAGGGAACACCGAGUGCCAGCAUCAUAUGCUGGCUGUCCAGAUGUGUAAACUACAUCUGUUAGCAAGGGCCGGGCAAGACCGGUGCCAGCCGCCGCGGUAACACCGGCGGACCGAGUGGUGACCGUUAUUAUUUGGGUCUAAAGGGUCCGUA
rnacentral:rRNA from 1 species